rnacentral:lncRNA from 1 species
CGUCUUCCAGAGCUGCGACGUCCUCUCCCGACUCCCCAGCCCCGGUCAGAUCAACACCAUCACCGCGCAGGGCCGCCGAGACCCCGACGAGAGCACGGGCUUCUCCUUCCAGUUCUGCAACGUCUCGGCCGACGCGGACCUGAUCGGCAACACCGACCGAACGGCCACGUACCUCGGCCGGCCAUGGAGGCAGUACUCCCGGACCGUCUUCAUGCAGUCUUUUCUGGACACGUUGAUCAGGCCAGAGGGGUGGGUGGAGUGGAAC